rnacentral:rRNA from 1 species
GUGGAUUAGAUACCCUAGUAGUCCAUGCCGUAAACGUUGGGCACUAGGUGUGGGGUCCAUUCCACGGAUUCCGUGCCGCAGCUAACGCAUUAAGUGCCCCGCCUGGGGAGUACGGCCGCAAGGCUAAAACUCAAAGAAAUUGACGGGGGCCCGCACAAGCGGCGGAGCAUGCGGAUUAAUUCGAUGCAACGCGAAGAACCUUACCAAGGCUUGACAUACACCGGAAAAGUGCAGAGAUGUGCUCCCCGUAAGGUCGGUGUACAGGUGGUGCAUGGCCGUCGUCAGCU